GACGAACGCUGGCGGCGUGCUUAACACAUGCAAGUCGAACGGAAAGGCCCGGCUUUUGUGGGGUGCUCGAGUGGCGAACGGGUGAGUAACACGUGAGUAACCUGUCCUUGACUUUGGGAUAACUUCAGGAAACUGGGGCUAAUACCGGAUAGGAGCUCCUGCUGCAUGGUGGGGGUUGGAAAGUUUCGGCGGUUGGGGAUGGGCUCGCGGCUUAUCAGCUUGUUGGUGGGGUAGUGGCUUACCAGGGUUUUGACGGGUAGCCGGCCUGAGGGUGACCGGCGACCUUGGGACUACGGUAGGGCCCAGAAUCCAACGUGACGCAGCAGUGGGGAGUAUUGCGGAAUGGCCGCAAGCCUGUUGCAGCAACCCCGCGUGCGGAAUAACCGCCUUCGGGUUGUAAACCGCUUUCGACUGUACCGAGGCGUGAGUGACGGUACUGGGUAAAGAAGCACCGGCUAACUACGUG
rnacentral:rRNA from 1 species